UUUAGUAUAGGUGCACAUGGAAAAUGGUAUCAAGGCAACUAUGAAUUGUUGAAAGAACUGGGACUAUCCAGUUCCUGACAGGAAAAGAUAGCUUGUCAUUUAUCAAACCGAGUGUUGCUCUCUUCAGUGGGCAUUACAAAUAUGUUUCUUAGUCAGUCCCAGCUGUGUGACCACAGGUGGAGACGCUGCAUGUCUUGGAGAACACUGGGGCGAAGAGUUCAUUUGUCCACCUCCUUUCCCCCAGGAUCACCAUCUACAUGCAUAAAGUACAUCAUCGGAGAAACAUUCACAAAACAGUGAAGAGCCACUCUGGAGCAGCGACGUGCAGGGCAUGGGGGACAACUCCCAGGAGUCAUGUCUGGAACAAGCUGUGCGUUCAUUGAGCUGGUCUCCCUCGACCCACUGAAGAAUUUCAUAAUAUCUCUGCAGUCAGCAAAACAUCUCCAAAUCUCGCUGCAACACACUUUAUAGAGAUAACGAUGGUAUUUCCCAGAAGUGCAAGAAUGGUCUUUCUCACAGAAUUUCAGCGCUGCUAUUUCUGGCUCUGAAUUCAAGAAAAGAAAGGGAGGGACAUUUUAGAAAAUAUAACUCAAUGUCUUUAAAAAACCCAUUUGUUUCUGUUUUGGUGCUGCAAACAGGCACAGGAAGAGGAAGGGAUUCACCUACACUCCUGUGCUUUCUGUACACCCAAUCCUACUUUACCUCAAGAUUUCUACUGAACACUUUUCAGGCAAAUCCUGUUCUACUACGCUAGGAAGGGCUGCAGUACCUGCUUCUAUGAGGAUGGGAUGCAUUCUUAGAAACCUUUCUGCAGCAUUACUGUUUUGGGGCGGUGGGAAGAAGAUCUUUCUCUGCAGCUCAGGGCUCUGUGAGGCAGACUGUGCUGCCCUUCAGUCGAUCCACAAUUUGCUUCCUAGCCUCUCUGCUCUCAUUUGCAGCCUAUUCACCUUCACAUGAGGCCUCAUUUACUUUCACAGUUGUUAAGAGUCACUUCAGUUUUUGUACUUACAGUUAAUGUACAUUUUGUACCCUUGACACCCUAAAAGGAUGACCAUGGCAAAGCAGGGAUUAAAAAUCUUUGAUGGAUGACAGUCUUCCUCUUCACAGAAAGCAUUUUGUCUAUUUAAUAUUAGGACAGUUAGACAAAAUUACAUCUCUUUAAAUGUGCCAGAGUAUGUCCUUCAUUAUAAUGAAUCACACCAGCUACAUAAGGCAGGUAGCACAGCACUAAAAUGGAUCCUCACAUGACAUUUCUGACCAACAGUGUCUCCGCUCACUUGGACAAAACAAGGCUAUUUUAUGUAAUGUAGAUAUAACAUACAAGAAUACACACACAUACAUACAGUUACUUUGAAAUAUAAACUAAUAUAAAAAUAUUCUAUUUUUUAACUAUGGGAAAAUACUAGGAACAUUUAUUUUUCUUGACUCAUUCUGCUUCUUAAAAAAGAGUUGACAACUGGACCCUUUUAGAUUACAAAAAAAGUGUCUUUCUAUAGCAAAUAUAGAUACCCUCACACUGUCCCUCAAGAAAUAAGUAUAUAAUCGGAUUAGAAGAUAUUUCAGAUUUGGACAGCUCUAAUUAAAUUACUUCUAACUUUUACUGGCCUCCGUGGAUCAAUCUCUUCAUGACCUUCACAGUCCAUCAAUAUAAGCACAAGCAAAGAAAAAAAAUCUUCUACCUCAAAACUCGAGCCUUUUUCAUACCAGCUCCCCUCCCCUGUAGUUGGCUGGAUUUGCUUGCCACUCAACCUCAUCAGGCAUUAACAUUAGCUUAAAAAAAACCCACCUAUUUUUUUACAUUCACUUUCUUCCAUGGUACAAACCCUGUGUAAAGAAAUUUCUUGUGCACUCUGGUUUUCUUUUGCAUACAUCAUUCACCAUCUUUCGAGGUAAGGAAUUUAAAUGUGUCUGAUGCCUUUAUCUUUUUGACAGUUUAAGGAUAAAAGUUCUGUCCAAUGUGAUGAACAAAAGACUUUUCCCUUUAAGUGUAUAAAGUAGAAGACAUUUUCUUUACAUCUCUUAGAAGAUUAAAUGCCACAUAUUAUUUUGCCUAACAUUUGGGAACUCUUUUACCUGAGAAACCCAGAGUCUUUGAGGUCCUAUUCUGAUCCUUUGCAUUUACAUAGCGUAAUUGUAAUCUGAUCAUGUAUCUCCUCACUUGCCACAGUAACGAAUGAGAACAUACUCUGCCAGAAUUCUGUCCUUUUGAUGUAGAUGAUGUGCCUCAACAGUAGGCAAUUUAAGGGGUCUGGAGGUAGAACUGCAUAUUUAGUUGCUUGGCUCCUGC